UUGGCGCUGUAGGCACUCGACCAACUCUGUGGCGCUAUGAGCUGUGGCGCUGUGAGCCUGGAUACGAUUAUUUAUUCGGUUGUGUUGGCGCUGUGAGCACUCGGCUAAUUCUGUGGCGCUAUGAACCAGUUUCUACUUGGUAGUAUCGCAUAGCGCCACAAUAACAUUAAAUCAUUAGAAUGAAGUUAUAACAAGUGUACUACAUGGCCGCGUUAUAAGUUUAUAAAGGCCAGCCAACAGGCAAAAAUAAGAAAAAAACCUCCUAUUGGUUAACAUUUAUUACAAGAACGUUGGAGAGGAACACUUGAUGUAGGGGAAAUAUUGCAAAAAAGUGUUUACGUGAGUGGCUAAAACGAAGAAUAAUUAAUAUCAUGUUGUGACGUCGUGACUCAUUCCUUCGCUUCACUUGUUACCUGCAUCUAGGUUAUGUGAAAUGUAUUGGUCCCAGAUUUGACCAUUACAGAGUUUGUAAGAGUUGUAAACCUCAUUUCAUAUUUUAUUUAUUAUCUCGUUUACAAAUAUAGCUCCAACAGUUUACACGAGUUGAUUUGUUGCAACAUAUUUCGACAAAAUAAAUUUAAAAGGUUGGAAACAUGUGAAGGAGAGAAACCCUCAGGACCAUAUAUGCCUUAAGUAGAUAUUAUAAGUGAUGGAGAGCAAGUUUGGAAGUAAAUGCCAAAGCACAAAGAUGCCUUGCUGUAUUGAGAGAGGAACAGAUAAAUGCUAUGCAAUCAAUCAUUGGAGUUUCCAGAUGAUGGUAUUUAACUUGUACCGAAACUUUGGUUUUGUGAUGAUUCCUGUAG